rnacentral:rRNA from 1 species
UACAGAGGUCUCAAGCGUUGUUCGGAUUCAUUGGGCGUAAAGGGUGUGUAGGUGGCGCCGUAAGUCGGGUGUGAAAUUUCGGAGCUUAACUCCGAAGCUGCAUUCGAUACUGCGGUGCUUGAGGACUGGAGAGGAGACUGGAAUUCAUGGUGUAGCAGUGAAAUGCGUAGAGAUCAUGAGGAAGACCAGUGGCGAAGGCGGGUCUCUGGACAGUUCCUGACACUGAGACACGAAGGCCAGGGGAGCAAACGGG